rnacentral:lncRNA from 1 species
CUCUCUUCGUGAUGUUUUAUUAACAAGUUUCGGGAGGAGCGCGCACAGAUAAUUAACACGGCAAGUUCAUCAUCAGUAAUUACACCAUCUAUCCAAUCAGCUCAAGAGAGAACCUCUAUAAAUAAUCAAAGCAGCCUUACCUCCAUUAUCUCCCGUCCUUAGCAACAUGUCAGACAUCGAGCUUUUCCCGGACGAUAAUGAAUUCGACACCACGGGUCCUCCGGCGUCUUCAGUCGCCGUCCAGCACACCAGCGCUCCGCAGGACACCAUAAGCGAGCCCGCGGCUGCAACUCGGGGCCGCCGGCCCUCCCGCGCCGCCAUCGCGCAUACCUCCAGGCACCGAGGCACGCCAUCACCUGCGCCUUCAAGGUGUCAGCCACCUUCUCCAGCGUCCUCCUACGCCUCAGCCCUCUCCCCCGCCCCAGCUGCGGAGAAAUGGACCGUGGCAGAACUACGCCAGGCGCUCGUCAGCUCCGGCGUCAGCGUCCCACGACGAUCAGCCAAGGCAGAUCUCCUCGCCCUCUACACUUCCCUCCAAACAAGGGCGCCUCCAAGCUUCACUCCUCCAUCCAAGGCCGCGGACAAAGCGAGCCAGGGCCGUAGUGUUCCAUACUCAAGGCCCGGAUUGACCACCACUCCUUCGAAGACGGGCUUCCGGCCAGUAGGCCGCAGCAAAAAGCCUUCGGCAAGCCUGGGCCGCGCCCCGGAUGCCGCCAGCCCCAGACCUCCUCCUCCAUCCACCGAGCGCCAGCUCGACAAAAUGCCAGCUCCAGUCUCCACGAGCCACCGCGUUAGCGCGAGCACGCCUCCGCUAGCGGCGCAGACCUCCCCAUACCCCCUCCCCUACCCAUGGCCCGCAGCCCCACCAUCCAUCACUAGCGUGAGCAUGCCUCCGCUAAUGGCACAGGCCCCGGUGCCCGCCAUUCCCCCUCUCUUUCCUCCUUUUUCUUCCGCUCCCGGAGCGAUCACAAGCGCGAGCCUGCCUCCGCUUAUGGCGCAGGCCCUGAUGCCCGCCUUUCCCUCUCUCUUUCCUCCCUUUUCUUCCGCUCCCGGAGCUGUACCAAGCGUGAGCUUGCCUCCGCUACCGACGCAGGCCCCGAUGCCCGUCAAUUCCCCUCUCUUUCCCUCUUUCUAUUCCUUCCCCGGAACUGCCCCAAGCGUGAGCAUGCCUCCGCAAGCAGUUCCGGCGGCUACCUUUCCACCUCCCCUCGCUCGCUCUUUCUCUCUUUCUUCCGCCACACCACUACCCACCCCUCCGAACGCCCUCGCCUUGGAACCACCCCCCGUGGCCAAUAACAUCAGGACACAGAUCUUGGCAGGUGCGGAUAUAGACCUUUUUUCCCUUCUGUCACCAAUUUCACCUGCAUCCGCAGAUCGCCAAAUCGACUGCGGCGGAUUUUUCGUCACGAUUACCGAGCUCGGAGCCCUCUCCCCGGACAGCACGCCAAAUACGCAUAAACUUUACUCGGUUCAUUAUAAGUAAGUGUGAACUCGUGAAUUGCAUUAAAGCUUGUUUCUAACUACUAUUCAGAA